CCUACGGGGGGCAGCAGUCGGGAAUAUUGCGCAAUGGAGGAAACUCUGACGCAGUGACGCCGCGUAUAGGAAGAAGGUUUUCGGAUUGUAAACUAUUGUCGUGAGGGAAGAAAUUGACAGUACCUCAGGAGGAAGCUCCGGCUAACUAUGUGCCAGCAGCCGCGGUAAUACGGAGGAUGCGAGCGUUAUCCGGAUUUAUUGGGUUUAAAGGGUGCGUAGGCGGGAUGCCAAGUCAGCGGUAAAAAUGCGGUGCUCAACGCCGUCGAGCCGUUGAAACUGGCGUUCUUGAGUGGGCGAGAAGAAUG
rnacentral:rRNA from 1 species